CAGUGCCUUGCGCCGCCAUUGCAGGGAGGCUGUCGUCAGAGCUGUCCUGGCGCGCCGGCUGCUGGACCGGCCCCAGGAGCCCAGUCACCGGGCGUCAUUGGCUCAGGCGGUGGGGCCCUCGGCACCUUCUCCCGCCCGGGUCCAUCCUGGCGGCGGCGGCGGCGGCGUCAGAGGGCGGAGCCUGCCGGAGCGCCCUUUGUCUGCGGAGGUCAACAUACCUGGUGUAAGGAGGCAGGAUUGAGAGUGACUCUCACCCACCACUGGUGUUUCUCUUUGAAAAUGGCGCUUGGCACCAGCAUGAACUCCCCGUCCUCAGCAGUCCCACCAGGUAUUUUUGGUCUUCAACCCAAAAUUCUAUCUUAUAAG
rnacentral:lncRNA from 1 species